rnacentral:misc_RNA from 1 species
GAAGUCAUCCUAUCAAUCACGACCUCCCCUCCAUUUUUGUACAUUUCAUACGGUAUCUCAUCUAGCCCUACUGCCUUCCCAAUUUUCUGUCCUCUCACACAUUUCUCCACCUCUCAGGUGAUUCUCUCAUUCAUUUCAUCCGCAUAUUCUUCCUUUCCAGUGUCACACAUCUCUCACAUGAACUACUUCACCAUCACCUCCAGUCUCUUCCCAAAACUCUUUAAUCAUCAUUCUCACAUCUUCUUUGUCUGUCAUCAAUGGCCCAUUCACAUUCUUACCGCUCUUUUCUGUCUUACUUCUAACUUCUCUAUUUAAUUUUCAUUCCUCACAUUCACAUCCAUACCAACUGUUUACAGAGGCAAUUUUGCUUUAAGAUCUAGAUCAAGACCGGGCCCGCGCUCGCCGCUUGAUUGGUGUGUCUGGGUUGACUCUUUGCCAUGGCUCUGCCAGGCAUUCCUUGCAGACAGAAACGGAGGAUGUCCCAUGAGGAUGAUGGAAAUGCAUCUAAGAAACAAAAGGUAAACAUUGGAUAUGAAAGCAAAACAUUACUGGAAUUCAGACCUGUCAGUAACUUCUGUGGCCCGGGCAGAUUCCCACUGAAACACAUCCUGAGGAAUGUUCAUGGAGAGGAGGGAGUGAAAAAUAUUCUGAAGGACAUCCUGGCAACAAACACUGGAGCCAAGAACCCUUGUGUUACACCAGAUUACCUUCUUGCCUACUCAGACAUUGGAAAAAUUUUGAAAGAAAUUAUAAAAAACUUUGAAAAACUGAACUUCAAGAAAUUUAAGAAUAUCAUUGAAAAACAAAUAAAGGCAACCAGAUAUGAGAAAUAUAAGAAGAUGAAGUCAGGAGAUCUGCUUGACUUACUGAAGAUGUCACCAUUUUGCAAGGACGGGAAUGAUGUGAAAGAAGAAUUAUUGGUAAACAACAAUUCCUCAGAAACUGAAUAUGGAAACACAUCUAAGGGAACUGUUUUUCAUGUCCUGAAUGUAGCACUAAACUCAAUAGUUCCUCAGUCUACAUGGGGUAACCAAGAUAACUACAGCAGAAUGGAGUUUUUUCUAUGGCAGCUUGUGGACAUGGGACUGCGAGAAACCAUGAGCAUUGGUGUGCUGCUUGAUGGGAUGAAACUGGAGGAUAUGAGAACUGGGCACUUCCAUACCUCGGUCUACACCUCCGCUCCUCCAUACCUGUGAACCACCAAACGAGUUGUGGAAGUCCGAAGUGCAGAAAAAAUGUUAAAAGUGCGGAAGUAACAGAUGGGCAAAGGAACUUCCACUCGAACAAAAAGUCUACAUAGUGAGUAAAUUCUUUGUUUGGAUUGUAGAAAAAAUCAUUAUUGUAACUCUGAAGUCAGUCUUUUACCAAACAGAGAUGUCAAGUGGUGGCUACCAAAUUUUUUUCUUCCCCAAGAAUAAAAUUGACUCACUAAU